GCUUACGACCAUACCACCCUGAGAACGCCCGAUCUCGUCUGAUCUCGGAAGCUAAGCAGGGUCGGGCCUGGUUAGUACUUGGACGGGAGACCGCCUGGGAAUACCAGGUGCUGUAAGCU
rnacentral:rRNA from 1 species